UCCCAGUUAGUACAACGGUUAGUAUACGGCACUUUCACCAGAUGCAGGCGUGUUCGUUCGCGCGUGCGGUGCUGCUGAGAUCGGGGUUCGAUUCCCCGGCCGGGAA